ensembl:snoRNA SNORD58 Small nucleolar RNA SNORD58
CUGUAGUGAUGACCACUUAGGACACCUUUGGAUUUAUGAUGAAAGGAAUUAUAUUCUGAGCAGC